GUUGAUAUCCAGCGUCGUGAUACCGAUUAUCCUGAUUGCCAUUGUUAGGGUUAGUCAACCCAGGAUAGGUCUGGGUAACCCAGGAAAGGUUGAUCUCGCUUCGUGAUACAGGCCCCUGGUGGUCUUUGGCUGCUCCUGACGCUACCGUCAUAAAAACAAGAGAGGAAGAAAUCUGAGUAUCUGAUUGGUCGAAGGACCGAACUGAACAGUUGGUCUUUGGCUGCUUGAAGAAAUCUGCACUGACUGAAACACUGCAUUUAACGGCUGGAUUAAAAAACCUUCUGUAAAGGAUAUCAUUGCCCAGAUUGCCCACCAUAGAUCGCUCAAAGGCUGAUGAAACUGAGAGGGAUCCUGCAGGUGUUUGGACAGAGACACAGUCUGCAGCUGGGCUCUUCUCAGUGUGUUUUUCCAGGUCUCCUCUAGCGUUGUCUGUCUUUCUCUCUGCUCACCAGACUGGCUCCCAGGUGGAAUAAAGCAGGAAUCUACCUCAUCCACGUGGUUCUGCUCAAAACUGGCAGAAAUGUGGGCUGCCUCUCCAGAGAGCACCAACUUUACAAGAGUCCUGAACAGAACUGAUUCAAGAACCAGAGCUCAUUUGGUGGAAAAGGGAUAAAAGAGAUACUUC